AUUGAACGCUGGCGGCAUGCUUUACACAUGCAAGUCGAACGGUAACAGGCCUUCGGGUGCUGACGAGUGGCGAACGGGUGAGUAAUGCAUCGGAACGUGCCCAGAGGUGGGGGAUAACGCAGCGAAAGCUGUGCUAAUACCGCAUGUGAUCUGAGGAUGAAAGCGGGGGACCAGGCAGCAAUGUUUGGCCUCGCGCCUUUGGAGCGGCCGAUGUCAGAUUAGGUAGUUGGUGGGGUAAAGGCCUACCAAGCCGACGAUCUGUAGCUGGUCUGAGAGGACGACCAGCCACACUGGGACUGAGACACGGCCCAGACUCCUACGGGAGGCAGCAGUGGGGAAUUUUGGACAAUGGGCGCAAGCCUGAUCCAGCAAUGCCGCGUGCGGGAAGAAGGCCUUCGGGUUGUAAACCGCUUUUGUACGGAACGAAAAGGCUCUGGCUAAUACCUGGGGCUGAUGACGGUACCGUAAGAAUAGGCACCGGCUAACUACGUG
rnacentral:rRNA from 1 species